rnacentral:rRNA from 1 species
GGACGAACGCUGGCGGCGUGCUUAACACAUGCAAGUCGAGCGGUAAGGCCCUUUCGGGGGUACGACGAGCGGCGAACGGGUGAGUAACACGUGGGUGACCUGCCCUCAGCUCUGGGAUAAGCCUGGGAAACCGGGUCUAAUACUGGAUAUGACUCCAUGACGCAUGUUGUGGGGUGGAAAGCCUUGUGCGGCUGAGGAUGGGCCCGCGGCCUAUCAGCUUGUUGGUGGGGUGANGGCCUACCAAGGCGACGACGGGUAGCCGGCCUGAGAGGGCGACCGGCACACUGGGACUGAGACACGGCCCAGACUCC